rnacentral:rRNA from 1 species
GAUCAUGGCUCAGGACGAACGCUGGCGGCGUACUUAACACAUGCAAGUCGAACGAGAAUCUGUGGAUCGAGGAUUCGUCCAAGUGAAGCAGAGGACAGUGGCGGACGGGUGAGUAACGCGUGAGGAACCUGCCGUUUCAGAGGGGGACAACAGUUGGAACGACUGCUAAUACCGCAUGAUACAUUUGGGUGGUCAUCAUCUUGAAUGUCAAAGAUUUAU